CAGCCGCCGCGGUAAUACGUAAGGUGCAAGCGUUGUUCGGAAUUAUUGGGCGUAAAGGGCAUGCAGGCGGUCGUGCAAGCCCGGCGUGAAAGACGGGGGCUCAACUCCCGAAGUGCGCUGGGAACUGCAGGGCUUGAGUUUCUGAAGGGCAGCCGGAAUUCCACGUGUAGCGGUGAAAUGCGUAGAUAUUGGGAGGAACGCCAGUGGCGAAGGCGGCUUUCUGGACUGCAACUGACGCUGAGGCUCGAAAGCCAGGGGAGCGAACGGGAUUAGAUACCCCAGUAGUCCCUGUCUCUUAUAC
rnacentral:rRNA from 1 species